UACAAAAAAGUGGAUGAAGGA
ensembl:piRNA 21ur-9350 ncRNA